UAGCUCUCAGCUACACUUCCCCCAUCCUGCCCGAACCGUGCUACCAUUAGUUUGGUGGCGCUGGGGAUCGGCUCGUUUACUUUGAGAAAAAUAGAGUGUUCAAAGCAGGCCACACGCCUUGAAUAAGUUAGCAUGGAAUAAUGAUAAAGGACUUCGGUUCUAUUUUGUUGGUGUUCGGGACUGAAGUAAUGAUUAAUAGGGACAAUUAAGGGCAUUCGUAUUAAGCCGUCAGAGGUGGAAUUCUUGGAUUGGCUUACGACGAACUACUGCGAGAGCAUUUGCCAAAGAUGUUUUCAUUGAUCAAGAACGAAAGUAUGGGGAUCGAAGACGAUUAGAUACCGUCGUAGUCUAUACCAUAAACUAUGCCAACUAGAGAUUGGAGGGGUUCUCCUUAUUGGCUCCUUCAGCAUCUUAUGAGAAAUCAAGUCUUUGGGUUCCGGGGGGAGUAUGGUCGCAAGGCUGAAACUUAA
rnacentral:rRNA from 1 species